AAGGGUGUGUAGUAGAGAAAUAUCAUAGAAAGUCAACUAUCUCUAUAAAUUAAGCAACACAAAUUUCAUUCACAAUGGGUAUAUUUUUGUUAUUAGGUGACUUAAGUAACAUGCUCAUCGUGAAUGAGAUUUGUGUUGCUUAAUUUAUAAGAAUAGUUAAUUUUCUAUGAAAUUCUUCCACUACACCCCCCU
rnacentral:pre_miRNA from 1 species